AGACUCGCUCAGGUGGAACAAACCGUUUAACAGGUGCAAAGAAUUCCCCCAGCAGGAACGAGCACGUCCCAGUCAAGAGUGCAUUCAAGGAUAAACAGCGGGAUGUCAUCUACAACCUGAAGGAAACGAUAAACUGUGCAGGACAGGAGUGAUGAUGCAAAGGUCUACGUGGACCUGCGGAAGAAAGCUGAGAGUGCCGACAAUGAAAACAAAAUUCACAACGAUUUUAAAAGUUAAUGUUUCUAUCAUUGCAAUUUCACAAAUGUAUGUUAUAGCUGAAAUGUGACAUUUUACUUGUUACAGGGACGAUGCGCUCCUCUUAUAGAGUUGAACUUUUCUUUUGUGGCUGUGAAAAUAUCUUGUUUCAGUUCCUUUUUAUGUCUGUUAACCGAAGGUAGCUUUUUCAGUUAGACUUUGAAGUAUGUAUCUUUUUAUACAGUGUAUUCAGACCGUUGACUUUUUCCACAUAUUGUUACGUUAGACUUAUUUUAAAAUGUAAAAAAAAA